rnacentral:lncRNA from 1 species
GAUGCUGGCGGCUUUUGUUUCGCGAAGUUGGGCCAGUAUGUGGCCACCUUUGGCGGCGGGUGACUGGUGUCCGGGUGUAUGUAUUACCUGAACACACAGAGCAGCUGUUUCCAUGCUUGGAUCAGUCAGAGAUUAUGCAGCCACAACUAUGCCUUAGAUGUGUGUAAUUCAAGUGGAGAAAACACAAGCCCGUGAUGUCGAUAUCAACACUUGAGUGUUCUGUAAACGAUUUAUCAGAGGUUGCAGCUGAACACGGCCAUGAGGUAAACCCUGCCCCUGGUUGACAUUUAGUUUCUUCAGCUUCUACGUGGGAUUUUAAGGACUUGGGAUAUAUCACAAAACCCAGCAGCCGCCCCCCACCCUUUUAAGAUUUAUUUUUUCUUCCUGAAGAUUCCAUGCUUAAAGUUCUUUAUGGUUAGUAACUGUGAUGCUUGAAGUUGGUUAUCCCUUAUUCUAGUAAAUCUUAAAUGUCAAAGAUAUAGAUAUCUUGUUAAAUAAAGAAAAGAAUCAAA